GAGGCGCUGGAGCUGCAGACCGGAGUGUUGACAGGUGUACGUCGUUGCUUCAUCAGCUGGAGGACUAUAUGAGGGUGGUUCGCUGGCUUUUCUACGCCUGAGUGUUUGCCUACCGUGGUAGUGUUUACCUGGCCAUUAUCUGCUGAAUUCUGGAAGCUCCACUUGUUUUUUGAGCCUUGAUUAAUUAUCCGUCUUGUUUCCUUCGUCAUAGGCUGUUCACGCCAAGCUGGGGUUUUCCUCCUGAACCCACCUCCUGUCAAGACUAGAACCUGCUGCUGCCCUUGCGAGUCCUCCAGCUGGAGGUGCAACCUGUCCACCACUUGUUACCUGGAACAUCAGAUCGCUCCAAUCGUUCCGUGCAGGCACUACCACAGACUUGAACCGGUUUCUCCCCCUGGCAGAUCGAUCGCCUUCUGGAAAUGUGUCUCCUGAUCGCUCUGCCCACCUCGUUCCUGAGUCGAAAAGAAAUAAAAGAAAAACUUAAUUUA